AUGACCCUCUGUGAGGAAGUCCUGCAGGUCAGUGGCAUCCUUUGGAGAGCAAAGACAGCAUCUGACAUCUUAACAGAUCUCAAACUGAAAUUAGAAGUGAAUAUGAAAAUGCACCACAAUUCACCCUCAGCAAAUGUCACACAAGAAUGUCAAACAAAUGUGUUGAAGGUAUACAUUCAAAAUGUAAAUGUGUCUCAGUAUUUCCCCUCUGCAAAGUCACAUGCAUUACUUCAGUGACAGUAAAUGAAUGAACGGCCCUCAUGUCACGUCUGCUGCUGCCGGUUCAGUGUCUUUGACUCAUCACAGUCAGUCUUCUAGAUCUCAAGCUAUUCUAUUCUAUUCUAUUCUAUUCUAUUCUAUUCUAUUCUAAAAACUUUGGAAGUAUUCACAGUUUGUUCAAGAUUCGUUCCUAUUUCUUUUAAUUUUCUGCAAGAGGAACUUGCAUUACUGUCUUACUGUAACGUAGUACGUAUACUUCGUCUUACUUCGUGUGUGUGUGUGUGUGUGUGUGUGUGUGUGUGUGUGUGUGUGUGUGUGUGUGUGUGUGUGUGUGUGCGUGUGUGGGUGUGUGGGUGUGUGUGUGUGUUACCUUCCUGUGCAUUUCCCAGAAUACCCAGUGAUGGUGUUAUUUAUGAACAGAAACAUGCUUAUUAGUCAGCGCUUUUUUGUUUUUGGUUAAAUAGAUUUUGUGUUAAACAAAUGUAUGUGUGAUGUUCUGUAUGAAUUUGGCACAGCUGUGCAAACUCUGUGUUUCUUGGUAGCAUGUAGGAACAUUUUGACAUGAAGAGAAAGAACCUGUUCAGAAAUAAACGGAUGAUGCUUUUAUAAGGGGCUAAAAAAAUUAGUCAUUUUGACCUCAUGAAUUUACAGCAGCACUUUUUAUGUAACUUGCAUAAUGCAUUGUACUGUAAUUAUUUGACAAUGCCCUAUUGUUUAUAGUAAUAGUAACAGUUAUAAAAUUCAUCUUCUUUACAUUUCCAUGUAUACAUUUAGCAGACAAUUUUAUUCAAAGUGACUUGAACAAAAGCAAUUAGUCACAGAUAUGUUAUGAUCUAGUCACAUUACACACAGUGUUUCAGUAACAUGUGAUUAUAAAGUGCAUUAUAAGGGAUUACAAUUUAUUAAAAGUAAUAAUCUAUUAUAUAUUAUUGUAUUACAAUUUAUUAAAAACAGCCUUUGGUGCUGACAUGGCUUAAUUGUAAUAAAUAACUGGGCUGUUUAAAGAAUUAUGAAUAGGUUUAUAAUGCAUUAUAUACAGUAUUGAUGCUUUAUAGUUGCUAAAUUGUCAUUAUGGAGUUGUGCAGAAUAUUACAUUCAUGCCAAAUUAAAUUCUCAGGUCAGUGGGGAAAUCUAGACGUGGUAAACUGAAAGCAAACAGCUUUAUCUGUGCUGUAAACUAGUUAUGUUGUGAAAGAAAGAUCGAGUCAUAUCAUUGUCUGUGGUGAAGUAAUGGUGACAUGAUGCACACUGGGGUUUUAUAGAGCAAUGCAUGUUCCAGGAAUAACAAUGAUUUAAAUGAAAAGAAUACUGAUUCACUUUUAGCUUUUAUGACUAUUUUCUGCCCUUUCACGGACUCCUAGAAUUAAAUGGUCUAGUUUGUUUUUUUUUUUUUUUUUUUUUUUUGUCUUGUCUUAUUAUUUUUUUUCACGGACUCCUAGAAUUAAAUGGUCAGUUUGUUUUUUUUUUUUUUUUUUUGUCUGCAUAUUUUUUAAGAGCUGCACGUUUUCUGUUGAGUUGAGUGUAGGUCCAAAGUUUUUAUUUUAUUUUAUUUAUUUAUUUAUUUAUUUAUUUGAUUGUUUGUUAAUUUAAUUUAAUUUAAUUUAAUUUAAUUUAAUUUAAUUUAAUUUAAUUUAAUUUAAUUUAAUUUAUAAUGCAUUAUAUACAGUAUUGAUGCUUUAUAGUUGCUAAAUUGUCAUUAUGGAGUUGUGCAGAAUAUUACAUUCAUGCCAAAUUAAAUUCUCAGGUCAGUGGGGAAAUCUAGACGUGGUAAACUGAAAGCAAACAGCUUUAUCUGUGCUGUAAACUAGUUAUGUUGUGAAAGAAAGAUCGAGUCAUAUCAUUGUCUGUGGUGAAGUAAUGGUGACAUGAUGCACACUGGGGUUUUAUAGAGCAAUGCAUGUUCCAGGAAUAACAAUGAUUUAAAUGAAAAGAAUACUGAUUCACUUUUAGCUUUUAUGACUAUUUUC
rnacentral:lncRNA from 1 species